UGAUUAGAUACCCGUGUAGUCCAGGGUGUAAACGCUGCGGGCUUGGUGUUGGGGGUCCUUAGUGGGCGCCCAGUGCCGGAGAGAAGUUGUUAAGCCUGCUGCUUGGGGAGUAUGUCCGCAAGGAUGAAACUUAAAGGAAUUGGCGGGGGAGCACCGCAACGGGAGGAGCGUGCGGUUUAAUUGGACUCAACGCCGGACAACUCACCGGGGACGACAGCAAUAUGUAGGCCAGGCUGAAGACCUUGCCUGAAUCGCUGAGAGGAGGUGCAUGGCA
rnacentral:rRNA from 1 species